rnacentral:tRNA from 1 species
AUCGCCCGUACAGCGCCGGAGCUGCUCAGCCUGGAGUGCUGGGGCGGCGCGACGUACGACGUGGCGCUGCGGUUCC